CACUCCUACGGGAGGCAGCAGUGGGGAAUAUUGGACAAUGGGCGCAAGCCUGAUCCAGCCAUGCCGCGUGAGUGAUGAAGGCCCUAGGGUUGUAAAGCUCUUUCACCGGUGAAGAUAAUGACGGUAACCGGAGAAGAAGCCCCGGCUAACUUCGUGCCAGCAGCCGCGGUAAUACGAAGGGGGCUAGCGUUGUUCGGAUUUACUGGGCGUAAAGCGCACGUAGGCGGACUAUUAAGUCAGGGGUGAAAUCCCGGGGCUCAACCCCGGAACUGCCUUUGAUACUGGUAGUCUUGAGUUCGAGAGAGGUGAGUGGAAUUCCGAGUGUAGAGGUGAAAUUCGUAGAUAUUCGGAGGAACACCAGUGGCGAAGGCGGCUCACUGGCUCGAUACUGACGCUGAGGUGCGAAAGCGUGGGGAGCAAACAGGAUUAGAAACCCGGGUAGUCCCAUG
rnacentral:rRNA from 1 species